GCUGAACGCUAGCGGCAGGCUUAACACAUGCCAGUCGAGGUGUAGAGGUUGCUUGCAACCUUGAGACCGGCGCACGGGUGCGUAACGCGUAUGCAACCUACCUUUUACAGAGGGAUAGCCCAGAGAAAUUUGGAUUAAUACCUCAUAGUAUAUAACCUUCGCAUGUUGGUUAUAUUAAAGUUCCAACGGUAAAGGAUGGGCAUGCCUCCUAUUAGCUAGAUGGUAAAGGUAACGGCUUACCAUGGCAACGAUAGGUAGGGGUCCUGAGGGGGAGACCCCCCACCCUGGUGCUGAGACCCGGACCCGUCUCCAUCGGGAUGCAGCAGGGAGUAAUAUUGGAGAUUGGGCAGAAGCCUGAUCCUGCCAUGCCCCGUGCAGAAAGAGGCAUCUAUGGUGUGUAAACUGCUUUUGUACGGGAAGAAACACCCCGACGUGUCGGGACUUGGCGGUACUGUAAGAAUAAGGAUCGGCUAACGCCGUGCCAGCAGCCGCGGUAAUAC
rnacentral:rRNA from 1 species